GCCUACGGCCAUACCACCCUGAGAACGCCCGAUCUCGUCUGAUCUCGGAAGCUAAGCAGGGUCGGGCCUGGUUAGUACUUAGAUGGGAGACCGCCUGGGAAUACCAGGUGCUGUAAGCU
rnacentral:rRNA from 1 species